rnacentral:rRNA from 1 species
UACGGGGGGGGCAAGCGUUGUUCGGAAUUACUGGGCGUAAAGGGCGCGUAGGCGGCCUUCUAAGUCGGACGUGAAAUCCCUCGGCUUAACCGAGGAACUGCGUCCGAUACUGAAAGGCUUGAAUCCGGGAGAGGGAUGUGGAAUUCCAGGUGUAGCGGUGAAAUGCGUAGAUAUCUGGAGGAACACCGGUGGCGAAGGCGGCAUCCUGGACCGGCAUUGACGCUGAGGCGCAAAAGCUAGGGGAGCGAACAGG